rnacentral:rRNA from 1 species
UAGGGAAUCUUCGGCAAUGGACGAAAGUCUGACCGAGCAACGCCGCGUGAGUGAAGAAGGUUUUCGGAUCGUAAAACUCUGUUGUUAGAGAAGAACAAGGACGUUAGUAACUGAACGUCCCCUGACGGUAUCUAACCAGAAAGCCACGGCUAACUACGUGCCAGCAGCCGCGUUAAUACGUAGGUGGCAAGCGUUGUCCGGAUUUAUUGGGCGUAAAGCGAGCGCAGGGGGUUUCUUAAGUCUGAUGUGAAAGCCCCCGGCUCAACCGGGGAGGGUCAUUGGAAACUGGGAGACUUGAGUGCAGAAGAGGAGAGUGGAAUUCCAUGUGUAGCGGUGAAAUGCGAAGAUAUAUGGAGGAACACCAGUGGCGAAGGCGGCUCUCUGGUCUGUAACUGACGCUGAGGCUCGAAAGCGUGGGGAGCAAACAGG